UGGGAAAUGCUUUCUGAGAGUCCUGGACCUCCUGCACAAGAACAUGGAACACCUGUGGUUCUUCCUCCUCCUGGUGGCAGCUCCCAGAUGGGUCCUGUCCCAGGUGCAGCUGCAGGAGUCGGGCCCAGGACUGGUGAAGCCUUCGGAGACCCUGUCCCUCACCUGCGCUGUCUCUGGUGGCUCCAUCAGUAGUUACUACUGGAGCUGGAUCCGGCAGCCACCAGGGAAGGGGCUGGAGUGGAUUGGGGGUAUCUAUUACAGUGGGAGCACCAACUACAACCCCUCCCUCAAGAGUCGAGUCACCAUAUCAGUAGACACGUCCAAGAACCAGUUCUCCCUGAAGCUGAGCUCUGUGACCGCCGCGGACACGGCCGUGUAUUACUGUGCGAGAGACACAGUGAGGGGAGGUGCCCACUCCCAGGUCCAGCUGGUGCAAUCUGGGCCUGAGGUGAAGAAGCCUGGUUCUUCAGUGAAAGUCUCCUUCAAGUCUUCUGGAUACACCUUUACUAGCUCCGCUAUGCAGUGGGUGCAACAGGCUCCUGGACAAGGCCUUGAGUGGAUAGGAUGGAUCAUCAUUGGCAGUGGUAACACAAACUACGCACAGAAGUUCCAGGGAAGAGUCACCAUUACCAGGGACAUGUCCACGAGCACAGCCUACAUGGAGCUGAGCAGCCUGAGAUCCGAGGACAUGGCUGAGUAUUACUCUGCGGCAGACACAGUGUGAAAACCCACAUCCUGAGAGUGUCAGAAACCCCAGGAAGGAGGCAGCUGUACUGGCAUGGAG